rnacentral:snRNA from 1 species
GUGCUCGCUUCGGCAGCACAUAAACUAAAAUUGGAAUGAUACACAGAAGAUUAGCAUGGCCCCUACGCAAGGAUGACACACAAAUUUGUGAAGCGUUCCAUAUUUUU